UUUUAGCCCUGAUGGAAGCGACAUCCUUUUUUGUUGUCAAACGGGGUUGAUAACAAAAAAGAUAUAGCGGACAGCAGGAUAGAGC
rnacentral:sRNA from 1 species